rnacentral:rRNA from 1 species
CAGCCGCCGCGGUAAUACGAGGGGGGCAAGCGUUGUUCGGAAUUAUUGGGCGUAAAGGGUGCGUAGGCGGUUUGACAAGUCAUCUGUGAAAUCUAUGGGCUCAACCCAUAGUCUGCAGGCGAAACUGUCGGGCUUGAGUAUGGGAGAGGUGAGUGGAAUUUCCGGUGUAGCGGUGAAAUGCGUAGAUAUCGGAAGGAACACCUGUGGCGAAAGCGGCUCACUGGACCAUAACUGACGCUGAGGCACGAAAGCUAGGGGAGCAAACAGGAUUAGAUACCCCGGUAGUCCCUGUCUCUUAUAC